rnacentral:rRNA from 1 species
UACGUAGGGGGCAAGCGUUGUCCGGAAUUAUUGGGCGUAAAGAGCGCGUAGGCGGUCCGGUAAGUCGGUUGUGAAAGUCGGGGGCUCAACCCUCGGAUGCCGAUCGAUACUGCCGGGCUAGAGUCCGGAAGAGGCGAGUGGAAUUCCUGGUGUAGCGGUGGAAUGCGCAGAUAUCAGGAGGAACACCAAUAGCGAAGGCAGCUCGCUGGGACGGUACUGACGCUAAGGCGCGAAAGCGUGGGGAGCAAACAGG